GAUGAACGCUGGCGGCGUGCCUAAUACAUGCAAGUCGAGCGAACAGAUGAGGAUCUUGCUCCUCUGACGUUAGCGGCGGACGGGUGAGUAACACGUGGAUAACCUACCUAUAAGGCUGGGAUAACUUCGGGAAACCGGAUCUAAUACCGGAUAAUAUAUUGAACCGCAUGGUUCAUUAGUGAAAGACGGUUUUGCUGUCACUUAUAGAUAGAUCCUCGCCGCAUUAGCUAGUUGGUAAGGUAACGGCUUACCAAGGCAACGAUGCGUAGCCGACCUGAGAGGGUGAUCGGCCACACUGGAACUGAGACACGGUCCAGACUCCUACGGGAGGCAGCAGUAGGGAAUCUUCCGCAAUGGGCGAAAGCCUGACGGAGCAACGCCGCGUGAGUGAUGAAGGUCUUCGGAUCGUAAAACUCUGUUAUUAGGGAAGAACAAAUGUGUAAGUAACUAUGCACGUCUUGACGGUACCUAAUCAGAAAGCCACGGCUAACUACGUG
rnacentral:rRNA from 1 species